GAUAGCAUUAAUUUUGAGGAAGAUUAAUAUUAGUCUUUUAAUGUUCAUUAUUUUCUGAAGAAGUGAAUCCUUGUAGCUUUUGAGAGCUAACAUGCCCUUCCCACUGGUAUUUAUUCGAGCAAAGGAAAAAAUGAAGAAGGCGUAGAAUAAACUCCUAAGACUGUUCAAGAAUUACUGGCAUUAUUUCUCUCUGCAUCACGUGUGAGCCUGGGUUGCCUGCUAUUCCUGAGGCAGAGGAUCGAGGAUGAAAGUCUGUGUGUCAGAGCCUGUUUUCACAACUGCAUUUGGAGAUCUGUCUUAUUGAUUAGGAAAAAAAGGGGGUGGGAAUAGGAGUGUGAGGUGAGGGGAGGACCGACUGACUACUGGCUUAUUGCAGCUCAAGACAUUUUCUUCCGGAAAGAUGUCAAACAACUGAGACACAGCAACAGAGGAAGUAGAAAGGUGGAAAAAUAAGAAGAGGGACCCUUUGGAAGAAAUGAAGGCAUUCCUUAUGAGAGCCUUGAGGUUUUUUUGGUGUUUUUUUUUUUUUUUUUUUCUUCUAACAUCUGACCCACAAGGGCUAGAGUGACAGCGUCAUGCAAAUGCUGCAGUCCAGCAGGUCUGAGAGAGGGUGGAUGCUAGAGACUGAACGGCUUCCCGAAGAGCACUGAGUUUUCUAUGCCAGAUUCUGCUCCAGUGGCUAGGACCUUUAUGGCUGCUGUUUCUUUUGCUCUGGGAUCUGAUGGAGAAAAAAAAAAAAAAAAAACCACGGUGGAUCCUGUCCCUAAAGUAGAAAUUUUCUUUUUCAUUCUGCAAACAAGGCUAAAGAUCGGAGGAGAAUGAAUGCAAAAGUAAUUCAGGAUUGUGGUCGUGCCAUUAAAAGUAUUCGGCUUCAGAACAAAAUCAUUCGGGAAAUCCGAGCAUUUCUUCUUUACUGUAUCGACAGUAUUUGAAAGUUAUGUGUGCUUUGAGUAAUCUGGUUCAAGUGACAACAAUCUCUGCAUGUCAAUGUUUUCUGCAGCUUAUGGAGUGAAGUUUAGUUUUGCCAUUGGAAAGGAAGAAGCUUUUUGUAGCAGUCUGUAGAAGGAUUAAAUGUUGAACGUGGGGAAGAGGCAAAAAGUGAAUACAUGCCCAAAGGUUAUCCUUGCAUCGUGAAUGGGUUUAAAGUACUCUGCAAACCAGGGCCCACCUGAACAGUACGACUGAAAUUAUAAUGGGGAAAUAUUUCAAUUAGAAGCCCCUUAACAAGCAUUUAAUCCUUCUUUCAGGCAUUAAGGAAAAUAUAAUAAAAUUGUUACUGUACAAAUCUGUUGGAAGCAGAUUUUAACCCAUUUAUAAGAGGCUUCCCUCUAUUCCCCCCUGCAUUAUAAUAAUACGACUGCUUGCAAGAUGAGGCAGUGAAGAUUUUUUUUUCCUGUGUUCUUUGUUUUUGCUUUUCAAAAGUUAAGGACUGUACUCUCAGAAAAGUCUGAUCGGUCAGCUGAUACAUUGUUUGAAUGUAUGUAUGCGUCUUGCCUGCUUAUUUGAUCUUUUCUGCCCCCUACUUGAAACUGUGAUUUGUCUAUCUGGGGGGAAGGAGGGGUUGCUGAUUUGGGGGGGAGGUUGUUUUUAGGGUUUGCUUUGGGGUUGUGUUUUUUGUUUUUUUUGUUUUUUUUUUUUUAACUAUAGCAGUGAAAGUUUUGCUGACAGCGGUUAUGACUACUAAGCAGUUCAGUUUAUUGGAAGAUGAAUUCUACUGGACCAUGUCGGACUUUUCCUAGUCCCUGAGACCCUAACUUGUGAGGUUUUUUAGCAACAAUCACAAGUCAGGCUCUUGGGACCUAGGCGGAGGGGAACCAGCAGCUUUGGACUGUGAUUGUUUCUCUGCAGAAUUUAGAGAACCAAAGGAGCUUUCCUUGUCUUGAAGGGUAAAAAGGAAAAUAUACUUAUUUCAAAUGUUAAGAAACACAACUGUUCCUAAAAGAAAAAAGAAAAAAAGAAAAAGAAACUAAGCAACUGUUAUCCAUUGUGCAAUGUUAGGAAGUUACAUAUUUAUAUGUUUAGAAAAUUGGUCUAAAUGUCACGUAACAUUUAGGAUUAAAAUUUAAUCUGAAUACCAGUUUGCACCUAAAGAAAAAAAACAAAACAAACCCAACAACAAAAACAAUUCCCACUCAAAACUGAUACUAAAAUAUACAAAAGGCUUCUAACCAUAAUAUUAUUAUUAUUAUAGAAAAUUCUGAUAAUUACCACAAAGUAUAGAGUCAUCCUGACUGUUGCAGCAUUAACUUUUAAAACAUAAAACAAAAACACUGAUGUUUGAGGCCUAGAAAACAUUCAUUCUAUUGUUUGAAUAAUGAUUUCAGUCUACAGGAAAACUGUUGCUUAGCUUUUCCUGUAACAUGGGACAAAGAGUAUUUUGUAGUUAAUUGCCAUCUUUUUUCUUUGUCCAAGUGAGAACACAAUAUGGCAUUUAAAAUAUUCCCUCAUUUAAUUUACAUUUUAAUCUGAUACUGAAUAUUGGUUUAAAAAUCAUAUUACAGCAUUAAAAUCACUUUGCACCCAGAAUCACUUUCUUGUACCAGUUCAACUUGAAGGGUGCCACCCAUACUCUAAGUACCAGUCUCGACUUCUAGCUUCUCCAUCACUUUUUGCAUUUUUCACUCCUCUGACAAAAAGCAGUGUGAGCUUUACAUUGUCCCUCAUGUGUUAAGUACUCCACUAACUUUGCAUAAGAAGAUUCACAAGCACACAAGGUAUUUCACAAGCAACACUGUUCAUUAAACUCGAACUUCCUAUCUACAACACAGAAUUUGAUUUGUAUUUCUUAAUAUUUUAUAGGCGGGUUAGUUCUGAGCAAUUUUUCUCUGUUUCCUGUGACUAACCAACAUGCUGCAAGACCUUGUUGAUACAUCAGACUUCACUGAAACAAAGACUUCACACAGAUCAGGCAUCUAAACUAUUUGUUCAUUUCAGAACUGGUAUUUUGGCUGCAGUAUAUUUUUUCCACUUGUGUGGGAGGAAUUGUGUUUUAUUGUAAGCAUCAACACUAUUGUUAAAAUAAAUUGUUCUUAUCUGUUAGUAUAAUA